AGCACUUGGAUCUUGUUAAAACGCAGGCUCUGAUUCAAUGGGUGAAGCACUGGGCCUGAGAUUUUGCAUUUCUAACAAGCUCCCAGGUGAUGCUGA
rnacentral:pre_miRNA from 1 species